GUUACAAGUUUAUUAUGAAACACAUCAAAUUCAACACUUCAGAUUUAAAUUGCCCCUUAACAAAACAAGCUAAACAAGCUAAACCAUAAAACAGAAAGAAAGAAAACUAAAUUCUUCAGUAAAAUCUUAAAAGGUAGGCCAUUAAACACAGAAAUACACAGUUCUUCAUAGCAUAACCUGAACACAACAAAGGUCAACCUGUAUCAAUAACUUAAAACAAAUAAGAAAAUAAACCUUUUUUUUUAAGUGAGCAAACUAGGAAAUAUUCUCUGGUGUGUAACUUGCCUUAAUGCCAGCAUUAAGUGAAGGGUGAAGCUCAGACAGGGCUACAGCUAACUGGGACUCAGGGGAGUAGGCCUACACAUGAAGGGAAAGAUGAAUUAUAUUGGGAAUCAAGGCUGGGAUUUGUCAUAACUGCAGUGUUUCUUUGGACAUUCCUGACCUCAUGCAAACAUAUUGUACUAUCUAACCAACAUUUCAAUCAAAUAAAGGUUCACAAAAUCGAGAAGUAAUAAAUACCCAAUAUUUCUAUUUGUUUUUGGUUGUAGCUGGAGGUAGGCCAGUUAGUUUCUGAGUGUCCAAUACAUUUUGUAAUUCUAUUCAAGAGCACUGAUACUUUAAUCGGGUACCCUAUACACUGGAGUAUAUAUCAAACAAACCAUUUGAAAUAGAGCUCUCAGAAAAUGGUGAAAUACUGUACACAUUGCAUAAACAUCACUGUGGAAGGUAGCAUAUACCUGUUCGUUCCUGCUCCCUACAUUGGUAUGCUAACUUGAGGUGUCACACCGUGCUUCUACACCUGCAUUGCUUGCUGUUUGGGGUUUUAGGCUGGGUUUCUAUACAGCACUUUGAGAUAUCAGAUGAUCUAAGAAGGGCUUUAUAAAUACAUUGGAUUUGAUUUACUAAAGCAACAGGCUAAGACCAUACACAUUGUUUUAAUGAGCUAGAAAUGCAAAAGAACUGCAUCAUUAGUGGGAUGUAAAACAUUAUGCAAGUAUGUGAUAUGAAAGUAUUUAGGAUAAAAACCUAAGAACAUAAUCCAAGGAAAUACAAUCACAUGCAGUAUGAAAUUAGAACUUGAUUCCCCAGCAAAGUGUGACAAACUCCUGCCUCUCCCACUGUCCACCUAAACCCCAUUAUUUCUGACCUGCACAUCCACAUCUUACAACUUGAUGUCUACCAUUCAUCCCUUUACAAAACAUAGGCUACUUCCUCCACCUUUCCUCUUUAUUCAAAUUAAAGCAAAUGAACUUUGAAUAAAAUACUGAGCUGAUACAUUACAAAUGACUGGUGGAAAACCACCAGUACAUUACUGCUGCUAGACUUGACCUUAACUUUUUCCUUUCAUUUCAAAUAUUGAGCCUCAGACUGUACAAUCCAUCACUGUUCAAACUGAAUAACAUACACACCUGUAUUCCUGUGAUUUAUCUUACCCUAACCCUAUCUUUAUCCUAACCCUAACCCUAGCCCUAACCUUAACUCUAACCCUUAUUUUAAAUUCUAAACCUAA
ensembl:lncRNA